rnacentral:rRNA from 1 species
UACGUAGGGGGCAAGCGUUAUCCGGAUUUACUGGGUGUAAAGGGAGCGUAGACGGCAGAGCAAGUCCGGAGUGAAAGCCCGGGGCCCAACCCCGGGACUGCUCUGGAAACUGUUAAGCUGGAGUGCGGGAGGGGCAGGCGGAAUUCCUGGUGUAGCGGUGAAAUGCCUAGAUAUCAGGAGGAACACCGGCGGCGAAGGCGGCCUGCUGGACCGUGACUGACGUUAAGGCUCGAAAGCGUGGGGAGCAAACAGG